rnacentral:rRNA from 1 species
UCGAGAAUCUUUCGCAAUGGGGGAAACCCUGACGACGCGACGCCGCGUGAGCGAUGAAGGCCUUCGGGUUGUAAAGCUCUGUCACUGGGGAAGAACAAUAUAGGUAUUAAUAACACUUAUAUUCGACACUACCCGGAGAGGAAGCCCCGGCUAACUCCGUGCCAGCAGCCGCGGUAAUACGGAGGGGGCAAGCGUUGUUCGGAUUUACUGGGCGUAAAGGGUGCCUAGGUGGAUAAGUAAGUGGAACGUGAAAUCCUGAGGCUUAACUUCAGAACUGCGUUUCAAACUGCUUGUCUUGAGUAUGGGAAAGGUAAGUAGAAUUCUCAGUGUAGCGGUGAAAUGCGUAGAUAUUGAGAAGAAUACCAUAAGUGAAGACGGCUUACUGGCCCAAUACUGACACUAAAGCACGAAGGCUAGGGGAGCAAACAGG